AUUGAACGCUGGCGGCAUGCUUUACACAUGCAAGUCGAACGGUAACAGGCCGCAAGGUGCUGACGAGUGGCGAACGGGUGAGUAAUGCAUCGGAACGUGCCCAGUCGUGGGGGAUAACUACUCGAAAGAGUAGCUAAUACCGCAUACGAUCUAUGGAUGAAAGCGGGGGACCGUAAGGCCUCGCGCGAUUGGAGCGGCCGAUGUCAGAUUAGGUAGUUGGUGGGGUAAAGGCUCACCAAGCCAACGAUCUGUAGCUGGUCUGAGAGGACGACCAGCCACACUGGGACUGAGACACGGCCCAGACUCCUACGGGAGGUAGCAGUGGGGAAUUUUGGACAAUGGGCGCAAGCCUGAUCCAGCAAUGCCGCGUGCAGGAAGAAGGCCUUCGGAUUGUAAACUGCUUUUGUACGGAACGAAACGGCUCUGGUUAAUACCCGGGGCUAAUGACGGUACCGUAAGAAUAAGCACCGGCUAACUACGUG
rnacentral:rRNA from 1 species